rnacentral:rRNA from 1 species
UACGUAGGGUGCGAGCGUUGUCCGGAAUUAUUGGGCGUAAAGAGCUCGUAGGCGGCUUGUCGCGUCGGAUGUGAAAGCCCGGGGCUUAACUCCGGGUCUGCAUUCGAUACGGGCAGGCUAGAGUUCGGUAGGGGAGAUCGGAAUUCCUGGUGUAGCGGUGAAAUGCGCAGAUAUCAGGAGGAACACCGGUGGCGAAGGCGGAUCUCUGGGCCUGUCCUGACGCUGAGGCGCGAAAGCUAGGGGAGCGAACAGG